AUGUCACACCGUGCCGUGUCACACCGCGACGUGUUGCACCGUGCUGUGUCACACCGUGCCAUGUCACACCGCGACGUGUUGCACCGAUCACGUCGCGUUGCACCGCACUGUGUCACAACACGUCGUGCCGUGUUGCACCGUGCCGCGUUGCACGGGUCCAUGUUGCACUGCGCCAUAUCACAACACAUCGUGCCGGGUCACACCGCACCGUGCCGUGUCACAACACGUCGUGCCGUGUCGCACCGCGCUGUGUUGCACUAGUCCGUGUUGCACCGUGCC
rnacentral:lncRNA from 1 species